GCGUUGAAAAGCUCGGGGAUGACUUGUGGGUAGCGGUGAAAUUCCAAUCGAGCCCGGAGAUAGCUGGUUCUCCCCGAAAUAGCUUUAGGGCUAGCCUCAAGGUGAGAGAUACGGAGGUAGAGCACUGAAUGUCCUAGGGGGUAUUGCACCUACCGAAGACUAUCAAACUCCGAAUGCCGUCAUCUUAUACUUGGGAGUCAGACUGUGGGUGAUAAGAUUCAUAGUCGAAAGGGCAACAGCCCAGAUCGUCAGCUAAGGUCCCUAAAUGUAAGUUAAGUGGUAAAGGAUGUGGGAUUGCACAGACAACCAGGAUGUUGGCUUAGAAGCAGCCACUCAUUCAAAGAGUGCGUAAUAGCUCACUGGUCGAGUGAUCCUGCGCCGAAGAUUUCCGGGGCUAAAACUUACUACCGAAGCUACGGCAUCAGUAAUGAUGGGUAGGGGAGCUUCCCAUACGG
rnacentral:rRNA from 1 species